AAGCCAGAAAAUAUGACCAUUAACUGUCACAUGGGACUUUGCCAAGGUACUUAUUUAGAGUGGUAGAUGAACAGAGAAAAGAAAGGAGGAGAGGGAGGGACAGCGGACAGCAUUUCAGGUGGAUUAGCCAACAACGCACCAGGGACCAAGCAAAGAGCAAGAAAGUCACAGGAAGCAGCAUUGCUGAUAAACUGGUGGGGUUCAGCAAGUGUAUUGAUUUCAGACAUACAGAUUACUGGAGAAGGAAUGACUCAAAGGCUAUCAUGUCAUAUGCUUCUCAACGGGACAACAACAUGUCACAUUGUGAACCUGGAGAAAAGAAGAACAGCUCUUAUCUGAGUCCCGCCUACUGUGGAGAAGGUGCUGGCUGACAGGAGAUAGGAGCAGGCUCGCCUGAGAGACCCUUCCUGGCUCUGGAUUCACUUAGAGGAGGUUCAGGAGUCUCCACCAUAAACUGCUAGACACUUCAUCAAUGAAGACCACCAUUCCAGUCAGUGGCAGAUUAGCAACAGGGCCCUAAUCCUGCAAUUAGAGCCUUACCUUUAUUGUUACAACUAUACUAGUAUA